UUGAGAAGUAUAAAAAAUAUUGCUUAUUUCUGGGAUAGAGUGAUUUUUUUUAAAGAUUGACACUGAAAGUGUUGCAGUUCAUAGAAACAGGGUGAGUUGGAGGAUAAAUUUUAUGUUGUUUUAUAUACAUAUAUGUAUAUACACAUUUUUUCUUAGAUAUGUCAAGAAAUAAUAUCUUUCAGAAGAAUCAAUAGAAGACAUAUUAUUAAAGGAUUUGGAGAACAUCAUAAGCAUCUCAAGAAUGGAAAAUCAAGCAUCCCAUGUACUCAAUACAAAAUUAGCACAUUAACAACUACAGGCCCACAUGAGAGAAAAACACAAGAAGAUCAAGACAAAUGCAAUGGUUGAAAGAUACAGACAGUGGAAUUCGUUUCAAUACAAAAUUCUUGUCAAGACUUUAUUAAAUGCCUCUGAUACCCUCAGCUGAGAUUUCUGAAGCAGAGGAGCAGUUGUGACAACCUCCCACUUCUAUUCCUUGGCAUCUGGAAACCCUCUGUUACAUCUGUCACUCCUACCUACCUCCAGAUGUGAUGUAUCAGGCUUGGAAACCACAGAGAAACCCCUGGUCGUGAUGUGAAAACAAAGUACUAUCAGGCCCUUUGUCAGCCAGGGCUCAAGUGUGCCUCUCUGUGUCCUUCCUUCCUGAGGUCCCUUGUUUCCACGCCUCAUGCAAACUUUUAUCUCUUUUAUCUCUUUAUCUAGAAAUUGUCAUUCCCUCCUCUUCUUCUGUCAAGUGCCAAAGUGACUGAGCAUUUGGUUCUAAAGCACAGUUGCUGUUCAAAGAACUCUGAAAAUUUUUGAAUUUCAAAUGGCAUCCUCUUUUUUAUUUCAGGGGCUCACUGGACGGUCCAUCCUCUAAGCAUUUUCUGUAACCCCUCAGGUGGGCACAGCAUCCGAAUUCCUGGUCUUCAUGAAAAUGCUUUCUGGAUGGGCUGUUGGAUGAUGCAAUUCUGGGAAGCACAGAAACUGAACACCUUAAUUAAAUUCUC